GCCAAGGCAGAGCUCCUUGUGCACUCACAGACCCACCAGCUCCGAGGGGGACAGGCCACUGGAGAAUCCCGACAUGCCAAGACGCCAGCAGAGAUGCUCUUGAGUUCACACAGGUGUAAACACGAUCUGGGCCAGGCCAGGAGUUUGAGACAAUCUGGCUUCCAAUGCCUCUGUUUCCUGUGCCUUGAGGUCUUAAACAUCUUGACAAUUGCUUAAGAUCUGCCUUUCCUACCCAAAGGAAGAAGACAGCUCAGCGGACCAGGAACGGUCUCUGGAGCUUUCUGCCUCCAGGGGAAGCUCAGCUUCAUCUCAUGCUAGUUGCAAUUCAAGCGUGGGAUGAGCAGCAGCCGCGUGACUGGAUUGGGGUUUGCUUCCAAUGGGCAAGGCUGUGAAAACCAUCGCCUGCCAUUAGCAAUGCCAUCCAGGACCAAAGGCUCAUCAACUUGACGCCGCCUCAUGCUGGCAUAAUCCUGCCCAGCUUGCACCCCAUCAGAGCUUCCAGACAGGUGGUCUUGGAGAUGAAGACAUGGAGCCACUCAAGAUGUGUGACCAAAAUCCCGUAACAACUAUUUAUCAGUUCAUUACUUCACUUCACAUGCAACAUCAAGUCCAGAACUGAAGAUAAACAACUAAGGACCAAGCCUUAAUCCUCACUAGGCCUCCCAGGACAGGACCUCCCUUUUCCUCUCCACCAUCAAAUAUCCCCAUCCCCAAGGGCAUCAAGGAGAAGCUGCAAACAGGAUGAGGAUCGGCAGCUGAGGCUGACAGUAAAGCUGGAAGGAGAACUGGCUCCCACUUGCCCAGAUCAGCCGAGACCCAGCCUCCAGCGCGGCUCCUCUCCUUGCUAGUAGUCUCCGCUCUGGAAGGCGGUGGAGACAGCUCAGUGAGGAUUUGGGCCGGAUACACGUGCCCCUGUCCCCUCCUCCACAGAGGAAAUCCUCUCUCGCUUCCUCCGCUAGCAUCCCCAGCCCCAGGCCCUCCCAGAGCGCUCAACAAGGCUAAACUCACAGGCCGUCUUUCACAUGAAGGCCUCGAUGCAUUGCAGGGGCAAGCAAGAACAGGCUUAGGGCAGUUCUCUGAAGAGAGCGGGUAACCAAAGUGGUACAGAUCCCUACCCCACCUCACACUGCUGCACUGCAGUAAGACUGCACUCGGCCUGGUGCAGGAUGUGGACGCUUCCAGCCAAAGAACCGAACUGCUUCUGGAGCUUUCGCAGUUUCAUCUGUACGUGCAGCUGACUGUUUAACAUCAACCCCCUGCCCCGAUGCAGCCCUCAGCCACGAAUCGCAGGGAGUCUUUCUGACGCGGACCUGGCUGCUGGAUCUGAGGGGUGUCUGGUGAGCACCGGCCCUCGGGAGCCCGGCCCCGGAGAAGCAGCUGACUCGUGAUCCUUCACACUCACGCUCUGCCAAACCCUUAGGAAGUGAGUGUGGCAGAUAUGUCGCCAUCAUUUAAGAGGAACUUUCAUUUUCAGUUUCCUUCUCGAUAUAGUUCCUUGCAGCGCUCUCUUCUCUUGCAGCACGGGACACUUGGGCCCUUUCGCACAUAGCACGCAUCCCGGCCUGGCAGCUCCGUCCCAGGCAACCGGGCCCGCUCCCAGCCCGCGACCUGGUCCCAGUGACAACGGGCUGCGUUCUGACCGCAGCUCCCUGCUGCCCCGGGACCCCCGCGCUCCCGCUUUUGCAAGGCUAGCGGACU